GAAUCCCAUUGAGGAUACUUACGAAGUAAUUCCUUGAAUCUUUCCCACGCCUCAGACAAAUAUUCAUCAUCCAAGUGUUGGAAAGUUGUUAUCUCAUUACACAACCU
rfam:Gossypium arboreum cultivar AKA8401 contig_23933_3, whole genome shotgun sequence.